GCAAAGGAAUUACAGGGUCACAGACAGAACUGCAAAGAGGGGACCCAUUUUUAGCAGGGCCUGCUUUGCACAUCCGGGUUCCAGUAGGAUUAGAUUAGGAAGGUACUAUCUAGCUGCUGUAGCCAGUUUCCGCAUAGCUGGACAGCACUGCAGACCUUGGCGUGUGUGGGCAGCCUGUUGUCCCGCGCCUGUCUGUGGUUGUAGCCCAUGCUCUGAGCAUGCCCUUGGAAGUCAAAGAAAUUGGAACUAGAUGCUGACAUGGAGUCCAGGGGCAGCAUAAAACACAGGCCAAUGGCUGUGAGAAGAUGGACAGCAGGCUUGUUACUGUGAGAAGCAGGGACCAUUGUGUGACUUGUGCUACAAUGAAGUAGGUGCCGCAGGGCCAGAGCCGCACCGUCAGCCUUGCUGUGUCUCUCGCUUCUUCCUGCGGGGCGCCACCCACACCUUCGGGAACCCCUGGACCUGCUAGAGCCGGGCUCCGGCAAAGUGCUAAGCGUUGUACCAUGUGCUUAUUAAUAAAUUCCCGGUGUUACUGGGCCUGUGUGGGCUCUUGCCUGAGUCAGAGAAGAAUUCUGAACACUGGCACAAAUAACGAGGCAGCAUGGUGAGCUCUGGGCUUUUUAUUCAGUGGGAGAAGUGCCUAGGAGAGUGAGGCCGUGCGCCUAAACUAAGAGAGCAGGGAGAGUCUGGGUGUUAGGUUGGGGUCCACACCCAGCAGCAAGCAGGCCAAAAGCCACCAUCAACAGCUGAUCACCGGCAGUGGAGCAGAGGCAGAGAGCGACUUUGGGGCGCUCUUUGCCUUUUAUGCGCUUUGCAAAGGGGCGUGGUUACGUGGUCUGGUGGGCAGGUAGGGACUGAGACACACAGGGGGGGCGGUGAAGGGCGUGGUCUCCAGCUCACAGACCUAAUCGGUUCUGUUCUAGGCCAGCCUGUAUCACCAUGACCCCUCUUGAUCCCCCUCCCUCGCUCCUCCCCCUUGAAGCCCCCUGACUCCCCCUCUGCCUUUCCAGACUGUGUGGAGCUGGGUGUGCUCAGGACUGGGCUGCCCCGAGGGCAGCCGCAGGUGGGAAGACCUGGUCUCAGGACUCCAGGCGCCUGCCUGUCCCUGAGCCAGAGCUGCCCCGGGGGCCUCCACGACUCCUCCCCGAGACACAGGUGCAGGACCGGUGUGGGCUGGGAGCCGGCUGGCCUGAGGGGCCCAGGACACGGGGUUGGGGACAAGGUGGGUGGGGGGCGGAGGGGCGAGGCCGAGUCUGGGCAGCAGACAGAGCCGCGGGGCCAGGUGAAGCCACCACCCCCCACUCCCAGGCAGGGCCUGAGCGCCAUGGAGGGACUCGUCGUGGUCCUGUGGGCGUCCCUGUUGCUGGCUGGGGCGAUGAACCAUGUGACAGUGAACCGCGCGACGACGCCAGCCCAGAACCUGAGCUGCUUCCAGUGUUUCAAGGUAUCCGUCCCAGGCCACUGCUUGCCCACGCCCUGCGCCGCUGCUGACCGUGUGUGCGUGUCCCAUGAGGUGUUCUUCCAGGCGGCAGCAGGUGGGACAGGCGCAGCCUCUGUCCUGGGCAGUCUCGGUGGUCAGGAGCACAGCUGGGCCACAAGCAGAUGGGGACAGUCAGAGAGGCCAAGCCCAGAGCUGGGCGUCCCU
rnacentral:lncRNA from 1 species